UUAAGUUCAGCGGGUAGUCCUACCUGAUUUGAGGUCAAAAUGUCAUAAAUUGUCCAAGUUAAUGGACGGUUAGAAGCUGAACCCCAUGUUAAAAGCUGCUUCACAACCAUGGCGUAGAUAAUUAUCACACCAAAGCUGGUCCACAAAGGUUCCGCUAAUGCAUUUAAGAGGAGCCGACUUCUGAGAAGCCCGCAAAAACC
rnacentral:misc_RNA from 1 species